GGAAUAUUUGCCUGCCCCUUCCUACUGUAGUCCAAUGAUGAAAAUAAUUACAGAAAAUCAACGGUUUAUUCUGUGCAACGGAAACCAGUUGACAGUUGCAUUUAUUUGAUUUACAAUACAGGGAGAAACGACGAAUCUUCUAAUGGAAAUAACAGAAUAGUUUCCCUCUAUCAACGGAAACAACAGAUUGUUCGUUUUUUUUUUUUUAAUAAAUAAAUAAAAGAUUGAGGCAGUUCAGCACACUAAGCUGGAAAACAAAAAUAAAAUAACAUUUAACUCAUAAAUGGAAUGUACUUGUUCGAUUGGGAAGAUAACAUACAAUUUCACGGAUGUUUCAAUGUCUUAUUGAUAAUCCAGCAUGGGCACCUGGGUGACGAGCAACUUCAAGGCGUGUGCACAGAAGCAGGCCCCAACGCAUCCACUGGUAUCUGACUCAGUAAUCACUGUUUCAUGUAGGAAAAAAUGUCCAUCAGAAGGUCUGAUAAUAUCCAUUUAAGCUCUCCAAACCAUUUCAACCAUGCUUAAUCAUUUGCAAGCAAACAUGUUCUACCAAUUAUUUUGGAUAAAUUGCAACACAUCAUGUAACUUGAUUUCACUAUGGUUAUCCAGCUUUUAAUUUGUUGUGAUUAAUGCAUUGAACUUUGCAAUAGUGCUUCGAGAGAGUCCGAUUGUGGAUUCCAAAUGAGAUCACACCCAAAAGGAAGCAAAUGUCAUUCAUUGCAGUUAAAUUCUUUCCGCCGCUAAUUCCAUGAGUUCCUUCACAUCCUGCAAAUUUCUUGCUAUCAUCCACCAAUUCAACAAGUUGCAGAGUUUCUUCAGAUUAAAAUCAGUUAAAUGUUCAAUCUGGAGUUAUCACGGUAGGAAAUAUCACAUAUUAAACGGUUGUUACAAUGCUCUUCAAGUCUUGUAAAUUGAACAAAUUAUCAGAAUCAUCAUGUUCCUGGUAACAUGCAACAGCGUAUCUAAAGGAAGGACUUCGAGUUAAAGUUCCUCAAUAACUGGGGAAAUUCGUCCAGGUAACAGAUAGGGAUGAUAAAAGAAAAUAGAAACCUUAGCCAAUUUCAACUAAAAAAACAAGAUUCCAAUUGUAGCAGGAAGUAGCCCAACAUAAUCUAGAGGUUCCAAUUACCAACAUUAAUAGCUGCUCAGCCAAUAGCCUAUUUAGACUUCACUUGAGGCAAAGGAUGUGGUUUCUAUUCCUUCCCCAUGGGCUAAGAAGCUUUGUGUUAAUGAGCGCAGUCACCUAUAGUCCCAAGAACAGCCACAUUGAUAGGCUUAUGAAGGAUCAAAAGGCACUAUAGGCACAUAAUUCAACAGUGAAAUUACCGAGUUGUCAAGUAGGUUUGGCACAGUUACCAAAGAAGACAUCAUCUUCAUGAAAUCAAAUAAGCCAUUGGUAGCGUUUCCCUUUGGGAGACAUUUCUUCCAGAAUUAAUCUUCUCCAAAGAAGAUAUCAGAACCCUUUUCAAAUGGCUCAAACAUUAUAGUGAAAAAGGUCAUGGCUAAAGAAAAAGAAUGUUGUUGUCUUCUCCCAUCUGAUUGCAUGAUGGCGUCCAAAAACAAACAGUCACAAAUGCACUAAGACUCACCUCUGCUUAAGAGGUUGUACUGCCUCGAGAAAUAAAGAAUGCUGCAGUCUUCUCUUCCUGAAUUUUAUUCGCCUUAGAAAUACUAGUGCUUCCUUUUGGAAGGAAAUUUUUCCAGCCAUUUUGGUCACAAAAUAAUGUGGCUGCCACAUCAGAAUUCAGUUGAAGCUUUUUUAUAGCCUGAUGGUGGACCAGAAUGAAACACUAUUGCAAAGUUCAAUGCUUGUUAGAAAAACAUCUGUAACUAACAGAAGAAAUGCAAAUAAAAGUUCAGCAACUUCAGGCCCAUGGCAAACUAAUAGACAAGCUCAAUGACAUCCAGUACAAUUUCCUCCAUUAGUUUUUAUUAAAGCACACAGAUCUCAUAAAGAAAUCUGUGGACCAUAAGAAAAAUAGAUAGGAAACUAAGGAAAGAAGAAUUGAGAACAGUAAACAACUAAUGUGGGACUUAAAUUUUACUAGAAUGCAUGCUUUUAUAAAUCUCCUAUAUUCUGAUGACAAUACCACCUCAUCCCCUAAAUUGUGUGAGAAAACCUCUACGCUGAACAAACAUUUUUAAAUUUGAAGUACAAUAGGUAUGUAUGUCAAAUGUUACAAAUGGGAUUGACUGCACUAUUUCUGGAAUUCAGUAUCCACAUUCUGAAACAAUAUCAGGGUCACUAAACAGAUUAGUAAGCAUUCCAGGCUUGCAUCAGAGAAAAUAGCUGCCACACAGUCACGUAUGUUUACAAUCCUUUUAGCGUGAAGAAGAGAAACAUCAUAUAAAAAUAACUAGUAAGACAACAUUGUAAAAUCUGGGGCAUAAAACAAUUAAUAAUUUUAAGGAAAGUAAAUACUUUGGUAUCUGAC
rnacentral:misc_RNA from 1 species